rnacentral:rRNA from 1 species
GUAAUGUCUGGGAAACUGCCUGAUGGAGGGGGAUAACUACUGGAAACGGUAGCUAAUACCGCAUAACGUCGCAAGACCAAAGAGGGGGACCUUCGGGCCUCUUGCCAUCGGAUGUGCCCAGAUGGGAUUAGCUAGUAGGUGGGGUAACGGCUCACCUAGGCGACGAUCCCUAGCUGGUCUGAGAGGAUGACCAGCCACACUGGAACUGAGACACGGUCCAGACUCCUACGGGAGGCAGCAGUGGGGAAUAUUGCACAAUGGGCGCAAGCCUGAUGCAGCCAUGCCGCGUGUAUGAAGAAGGCCUUCGGGUUGUAAAGUACUUUCAGCGGGGAGGAAGGGAGUAAAGUUAAUACCUUUGCUCAUUGACGUUACCCGCAGAAGAAGCACCGGCUAACUCCGUGCCAGCAGCCGCGGUAAUACGGAGGGUGCAAGCGUUAAUCGGAAUUACUGGGCGUAAAGCGCACGCAGGCGGUUUGUUAAGUCAGAUGUGAAAUCCCCGGGCUCAACCUGGGAACUGCAUCUGAUACUGGCAAGCUUGAGUCUCGUAGAGGGGGGUAGAAUUCCAGGUGUAGCGGUGAAAUGCGUAGAGAUCUGGAGGAAUA